UAUUGUUAUUUUGGCAGAUUAGUGCAUUAAAUUUAGAAUUUAAAUAAGUAAUUUUUAUUAUUGCAAAUAAUAC
rnacentral:tRNA from 1 species